rnacentral:rRNA from 1 species
UACGGAGGGUGCAAGCGUUGUUCGGAUUUAUUGGGCGUAAAGAGCUCGUAGGCGGUUUGUUGCGUCGGCUGUGAAAUCCCGAGGCUCAACCUCGGGUCUGCAGUCGAUACGAGCAAACUAGAGUGUUGCAGGGGAGACUGGAAUUCCUGGUGUAGCGGUGAAAUGCGCAGAUAUCAGGAGGAACACCGGUGGCGAAGGCGGGUCUCUGGGCAACAACUGACGCUGAGGAGCGAAAGCGUGGGGAGCGAACAGG